rnacentral:tRNA from 1 species
ACUUAAAUAGCUUAUGGUUUAGAGCGCGACGCUGAAGAUGUCGAUGAGGUGUUUUACCUUUAAGUG